rnacentral:rRNA from 1 species
GACGUAGGGGGCUAGCGUUGCUCAGAAUCACUGGGCGUAAAGCGCACGUAGGCGGAUUGCUAAGUCAGGGGUGAAAUCCUGGAGCUCAACUCCAGAACUGCCUUUGAUACUGGCGACCUUGAGUCCGGGAGAGGUGAGUGGAACUGCGAGUGUAGAGGUGAAAUUCGUAGAUAUUCGCAAGAACACCAGUGGCGAAGGCGGCUCACUGGCCCGGUACUGACGCUGAGGUGCGAAAGCGUGGGGAGCAAACAGG